rnacentral:rRNA from 1 species
AGUGAACGCUGGCGGUAGGCCUAACACAUGCGAGUCGAACGGCAGCACAGUAAGAGCUUGCUCUUACGGGUGGCGAGUGGCGGACGGGUGAGGAAUACAUCGGAAUCUACUUUUUCGUGGGGGAUAACGUAGGGAAACUUACGCUAAUACCGCAUACGACCUACGGGUGAAAGCAGGGGAUCUUCGGACCUUGCGCGAUUGAAUGAGCCGGUGUCGGAUUAGCUAGUUGGCGGGGUAAAGGCCCACCAAGGCGACGAUCCGUAGCUGGUCUGAGAGGAUGAUCAGCCACACUGGAACUGAGACACGGUCCAGACUCCUACGGGAGGCAGCAGUGGGGAAUAUUGGACAAUGGGCGCAAGCCUGAUCCAGCCAUACCGCGUGGGUGAAGAAGGCCUUCGGGUUGUAAAGCCCUUUUGUUGGGAAAGAAAAGCAGCAGGUUAAUACCCCGCUGUUCUGACGGUACCCAAAGAAUAAGCACCGGCUAACUUCGUG